AAGUCGUAACAAGGUUUCCGUAGGUGAACCUGCGGAAGGAUCAUUAACAAAUCCGCUGUUCAUUCCUGUGCUGGUGGGGAGGGGCUCGUCCACUCCUGCAUCUGUGCAGGGAUAACGUCUGUUCCGUGUGCACGUUCACUCUGCACACGACAUUUCUACGAAUCGUCUGAUCAUCACUGAAUCUACAAAUAACUUUUAACAAUGGAUCUCUAGGCUCUU
rnacentral:misc_RNA from 1 species